rnacentral:rRNA from 1 species
AUUGAACGCUGGCGGCAGGCCUAACACAUGCAAGUCGAACGGUAGCACAGAGAGCUUGCUCUCGGGUGACGAGUGGCGGACGGGUGAGUAAUGUCUGGGAAACUGCCCGAUGGAGGGGGAUAACUACUGGAAACGGUAGCUAAUACCGCAUAACGUCUACGGACCAAAGUGGGGGACCUUCGGGCCUCACACCAUCGGAUGUGCCCAGAUGGGAUUAGCUAGUAGGUGGGGUAAUGGCUCACCUAGGCGGCGAUCCCUAGCUGGUCUGAGAGGAUGACCAGCCACACUGGAACUGAGACACGGUCCAGACUCCUACGGGAGGCAGCAGUGGGGAAUAUUGCACAAUGGGCGCAAGCCUGAUGCAGCCAUGCCGCGUGUAUGAAGAAGGCCUUCGGGUUGUAAAGUACUUUCAGCGGGGAGGAAGGGUUGCUGGUUAAUAACCAGCGACAUUGACGUUACCCGCAGAAGAAGCACCGGCUAACUCCGUGCCAGCAGCCGCGGUAA